CUCAUUGUUGAUGCUGGAGCUCUGCCCCAUCUUGUGGAUCUGCUGAAGAGGCACAAUAAAGCACAAAACCUCGUGCAGUCAAUGGUGUUAUCCGGAGAGCAGUUGAUGCAAUCACCAAUCUUAAUAACAGCAUUAAAAGUCGCAGCAGGUGCAAAGAGCAGCUGCAGGAGCCUUGCGAACUUUGGCAUUUAAAAACGAUGAAAACAAAAAUCAGAUUGUUGAUUGCAAUGUACUACCUAUUCUUAUUCUAUUGCUGCGGUCCAAAGAUACGGGCAUACAGUAUGAAGCGGUUGGAGUCAAUGGAAAUCUGGUGCACUCAUC